rfam:Picea glauca, whole genome shotgun sequence.
GGGUGUGAUCAUACCAGUGUUAAUGCACCGGAUCCCAUUGAAACUCCGCAGUUAAGCGUGCUUGGGCUAGAGUAGUAGUAGGAUGGGUGACAUCCUGGGAAGUCCUAGUGUUGCACCCU